UUCUAACGCGGAAAGGCUAAUUAAUGACUGUAGAGAUAACUUUACCAAAUUGGCAUUACAUAAUCAACAAGUACUGACAUUACUACUACUACUAGUUACUUCUUCUCUAGAUCAACAUCGCACAAGUCAGUUUCAGGAAUCCUCUUUCUUUGAACUUUCUCAAACCUUAUUCAUUAAGGUUUUGGUGGAGUUGUUAUUGAUAUAAAUACACUCCCAACUACUCCAUUCACCAAAUUAAGAGAAGUUGUUCAAUUUUUCAAAGUCUAAUACACAAUUAGUGCUUGUUUUGUGAUUCUUGAGUGUAAGCUGGUGUAGUUAGGUCAAGAUGAGUGAUCCAAAGUAUGCUUACCCAUAUCCUGCUCAAGGUUACUAUCAAGGUCCUCCUGUAAUGGCACCACCACAAUAUUAUGCUCCACCACCAAGAAGAGAACCUGGUUUUAUUGAAGGAUGCCUUGCUGCUUUGUGUUGUUGCUGUCUCAUUGAUGAAUGUUGCUGUGAUCCUUCCAUCAUUUGUUUCUUUUAGUAUAACACCAAGUACUAGUAGUGAAUUUACUAAGACUCCAUCUCAGUUUGUGUAUUGAAUUUGCUAUUGAGUCUUAAAAACAUUACUUCUUCCUCUAGAUCUUUGGGUUGUAUUCAUGAUGUAGUAUCUUAAAGUAAUUAAAGGUAAUUUCUUGAUAAAGGAAA